AGUUCUCGUUGAUGAUCGGUGCUUGCACCGAGAUUCAACAUGGAACGAGUGGCGGACGGGUGAGUAACACGUGGGUAACCUGCCCUUAAGUGGGGGAUAACAUUUGGAAACAGAUGCUAAUACCGCAUAGAUCCAAGAACCGCAUGGUUCUUGGCUGAAAGAUGGCGUAAGCUAUCGCUUUUGGAUGGACCCGCGGCGUAUUAGCUAGUUGGUGAGGUAAUGGCUCACCAAGGCGAUGAUACGUAGCCGAACUGAGAGGUUGAUCGGCCACAUUGGGACUGAGACACGGCCCAAACUCCUACGGGAGGCAGCAGUAGGGAAUCUUCCACAAUGGACGCAAGUCUGAUGGAGCAACGCCGCGUGAGUGAAGAAGGCUUUCGGGUCGUAAAACUCUGUUGUUGGAGAAGAAUGGUCGGCAGAGUAACUGUUGUCGGCGUGACGGUAUCCAACCAGAAAGCCACGGCUAACUACGUGCCAGCAGCCGCGGUAAUACGUAGGUGGCAAGCGUUAUCCGGAUUUAUUGGGCGUAAAGCGAGCGCAGGCGGUUUUUUAAGUCUGAUGUGAAAGCCCUCGGCUUAACCGAGGAAGCGCAUCGGAAACUGGGAAACUUGAGUGCAGAAGAGGACAGUGGAACUCCAUGUGUAGCGGUGAAAUGCGUAGAUAUAUGGAAGAACACCAAUGGCGAAGGCGGCUGUCUGGUCUGU
rnacentral:rRNA from 2 species